UACGUAGGGGGCAAGCGUUGUCCGGAAUUAUUGGGCGUAAAGAGCGUGUAGGCGGUCCGGUAAGUCAGCUGUGAAAGUCAAGGGCUCAACCCUUGAAAGCCGGUUGAUACUGUCGGGCUAGAGUCCGGAAGAGGCGAGUGGAAUUCCCGGUGUAGCGGUGAAAUGCGCAGAUAUCGGGAGGAACACCAAUGGCGAAGGCGGCUCACUGGACCGGUACUGACGCUGAUGCGCGAAAGCGUGGGGAGCAAACAGG
rnacentral:rRNA from 1 species